rnacentral:misc_RNA from 1 species
UGGCACCAUUCUGGAUAA